CCGGGUUCCCGGCGCCCCGCCUUCCCCAAUGCCCAUAAAAGCGCAUGUCCCCGUCUCGGUAGCCACUGGACACCUGCAUCUGCCAACAAGACCGGAAGCAGAAAGUGACAAAGACGGCGAAGUUUGACAGUCUGGAAAGCGGAGACCAGACGGGCUGACUACCUGAGAGCACCGCGACUCCGGACAGCGCCUCUCGGGGUCCGGGAUGGGCCCCGCUAUCUGCUUCAGCACCGUGGCUGCGGACAGCUCCUGGCGGAGGCCCGGGGCCCCCGACUUCGUUUCAGCACCCGGACAGCGGACAGCUCCCCGAGGUACCCAGGAGCCCCUGUGCCUUGAUGGGUGGUCAGAGGUGCCCGGCGCUUUUGGAGACUUGCCCCUCAUGGAAUGGAUUUUUCCACGAAUUAUUUUCCAGAUAAUAAGCAGGCGCGAUGAAACCGCACGUAGAAAUCUGUAAUUUCCAGCAGGUGAGAUGUCCAGUCGGUAGGAGUGUGGGUGAAUGGGCGCCUGCCAAGAUGACACUGUUGUGCUCUUUCCAGACUUCCGUGAGAAGCAUUGUGCCAAGCGUUUUGCAUAGAUUCUAUCAUGCCAUCUGCAAUCCUAGGACACGGGUGUUAUGAUGCCCAGGACCAGGAAUGGAAAACAGGAGGCGGUGGAGAAGCAAGAAGCCCGGGUGUUCCGGCUUGGCUCAGUUCCAGGGGCCAGUUACAGGACAGCUGUCCACUCGUGCCUGGUAGUUGUGGCAUCAUCAACGCCCACCCCAAAUUCUCUGUGACAUCCUAAUGAAGUCCAGAGACACCACGUCAAGCUCGUUCCAGCCUCAGAGUGCAUGCCUUUGCUGUUCCCUCAGCUUGGAAUGCUCUGCUCCCCAAGCACCCCAAGGCUCCCUCCGCCUUCUUAUCCAAGCCUCAGGUCACCAAGAGAAUCUUGUCUCCCCGCUCCCCCCCAUAGCAAGUCUAUAUUACACAUUCUCAUAGACACGGGAAAUCUUCUCUCUGGCACAUAGUCCAAUUCUUUGGUCUUAUCUGUUUACAGGGCUGUCUGUCUCCCCCCACUACACUGUGAGCCCCAUGAGGACAGAGACUGUGUUUGUAUUUUCCCAGCACUCAUGCAUGGCCUUGCACACAGCAGGUGCUCAAUAAAUGUUUGUUGAAUCAGUAAAGGCAUCAGAGGAUAAAACAACGUAUCAGUCAAUAAAGGAAUUGAUGGUUUCAGCAUGCA
rnacentral:lncRNA from 1 species